GCGGGUAUCGUAUAUAGGUAAUACUCUAGCCUUCCAAGCUAGCAAGGUGGGUUCGAUUACCAUUACUCGCU
rnacentral:tRNA from 1 species